rnacentral:rRNA from 1 species
GGACCCGCACAAGCGGUGGAUGAUGUGGUUUAAUUCGAUGCAACGCGCAAAACCUUACCUACCCUUGACAUGGUCGGAACCUUGGUGAGAGCUGAGGGUGCCCGAAAGGGAGCCGAUACACAGGUGCUGCAUGGCUGUCGUCAGCUCGUGUCGUGAGAUGUUGGGUUAAGUCCCGCAACGAGCGCAACCCUUGCCACUAGUUGCUACAUUCAGUUGGGCACUCUAGUGGGACUGCCGGUGACAAACCGGAGGAAGGUGGGGAUGACGUCAAGUCCUCAUGGCCCUUAUGGGUAGGGCUACACACGUCAUACAAUGGCGCAUACAGAGGGUUGCCAACCCGCGAGGGGGAGCCAAUCCCAGAAAGUGCGUCGUAGUCCGGAUUGCAGUCUGCAACUCGACUGCAUGAAGUCGGAAUCGCUAGUAAUCGCGGAUCAGCAUGUCGCGGUGAAUACGUUCCCGGGUCUU